CUGAGGACUGGAGGUUAGGACCAGGCUACUAUAUCCUGGCCUGGGGCUGAGGACUGGCGGUUAGGACCAGGCUACUAUAUCCUGGCCUGGGGCUGAGGACUGGAGGUUAGGACCAGGCUACUAUAUCCUGGCCUGGGGCUGAGGACUGGCGGUUAGGACCAGGCUACUAUAUCCUGGCCUGGGACUGGAG